CCGGGAUUGUGUAUUUGAGAGCCUCCCAAUAUCAGACGCUAUUAACCCUUUAUCAAUAUAUACUGCUGGUCGCUCAAGCAACCAGUGCAAUCUAGAAUUAGAAAGCUGUUUGAGUAAUGGUUUUUCUUAUACUUAAGACAUUUCAACAUCAUUAUAGAUUUAUCUUUCUUUCAUAAACAUUGGUUCUGGUCUCUGUAAUCCC